GACGAACGCUGGCGGCGUGCUUAACACAUGCAAGUCGAACGGUGAAGCGCCUUCCUUUUUGGUGGGUGUGGAUGAGUGGCGAACGGGUGAGUAACACGUGAGUAACCUGCCCCCUUCUUCUGGAUAACCGCAUGAAAGUGUGGCUAAUAUGGGAUAUUCUGGGUCUGUCGCAUGAUGGGUCUGGGAAAGAUAUUGUUUCGGUGGGGGAUGGGCUCGCGGCCUAUCAGCUUGUUGGUGGGGUGAUGGCCUACCAAGGCGGUGACGGGUAGCCGGCCUGAGAGGGUGGACGGUCACACGGGGACUGAGACACGGCCCAGACUCCUACGGGAGGCAGCAGUGGGGAAUAUUGCACAAUGGGCGCAAGCCUGAUGCAGCGACGCCGCGUGAGGGAUGGAGGCCUUCGGGUUGUGAACCUCUUUCGCCAGUGAAGCAGGCCUGCCUCGUUUGUGGGUGGGUUGACGGUAGCUGGAUAAGAAGCGCCGGCUAACUACGUG
rnacentral:rRNA from 1 species